rnacentral:rRNA from 1 species
UAUCCUACGGGAGGCAGCAGUGAGGAAUAUUGGUCAAUGGGCGGAAGCCUGAACCAGCCAAGUCGCGUGAGGGAUUAAGGCCCUAUGGGUCGUAAACCUCUUUUGUCAGGGAGCAAGGCCUCUCACGUGUGGGAGGUUGGAGAGUACCUGAAGAAAAAGCAUCGGCUAACUCCGUGCCAGCAGCCGCGGUAAUACGGAGGAUGCGAGCGUUAUCCGGAUUUAUUGGGUUUAAAGGGUGCGUAGGCGGGACCUUAUGUAAGCGGUAAAAUUGCGGCGCUCACUGCCG